rnacentral:rRNA from 1 species
AUUGAACGCUGGCGGCAUGCCUUACACAUGCAAGUCGAACGGCAGCGGGGACUUCGGUCCGCCGGCGAGUGGCGAACGGGUGAGUAAUGUAUCGGAACGUACCAUUGAGUGGGGGAUAACUAUCCGAAUGGAUAGCUAAUACCGCAUAAUCUCUCCGGAGGAAAGGAGGGGACCGGAAGGCCUUGCGCCCACUUAGCGGCCGAUAUCAGAUUAGCUAGUUGGUGAGGUAAAGGCUCACCAAGGCGACGAUCUGUAGCGGGUCUGAGAGGAUGAUCCGCCACACUGGAACUGAGACACGGUCCAGACUCCUACGGGAGGCAGCAGUGGGGAAUUUUGGACAAUGGGGGCAACCCUGAUCCAGCCAUGCCGCGUGAGUGAAGAAGGCCUUCGGGUUGUAAAGCUCUUUCGGCCGGGAAAAAAUCGCAUGGGUUAAUACCCUGUGUGGAUGAUGGUACCGGAAUAAGAAGCACCGGCUAACUACGUGCCAGCCGCCGCAGUAAUAC